GUAAAUAUAGUUUAAAGAAAAUACUAGAUUGUGAUUCUAGGGACAGAGGUUGAAGUCCUCUUAUUCACC
rnacentral:tRNA from 1 species